AUGUACCCAGGUACAUUCCGGUUCCUCCGCGCCGUCCGCACCCACCUGACGACUGCUCGCUACGUUUUGUUAGCC
rnacentral:sRNA from 2 species